rnacentral:rRNA from 1 species
AUACGUAGGGGGCGAGCGUUGUCCGGAAUGAUUGGGCGUAAAGGGCGCGUAGGCGGCGCGGUAAGUCUGGAGUGAAAGUCCUGCUUUCAAGGUGGGAAUUGCUUUGGAUACUGCCGCGCUUGAGUGCAGGAGAGGUUAUCGGAAUUCCCGGUGUAGCGGUGAAAUGCGUAGAGAUCGGGAGGAACACCAGUGGCGAAGGCGGGUAACUGGACUGCAACUGACGCUGAGGCGCGAAAGUGUGGUGAGCAAACAGGAUUAGAUACCCUGGUAGUCCACACUGUAAACGAUGAAUGCUAGGUGUAAGAGGUAUCGACCCCUUUUGUGCCGGAGUCAACACAAUAAGCAUUCCGCCUGGGGAGUACGGCCGCAAGGUUGAAACUCAAAGGAAUUGACGGGG